GCCUGUGCCAGCUUCUCCUGAAAUCCCUAAAAUUCCUGCUCCUCCUGCUGUUCCUAAAAUUCCUGAUUCUCCACAUAUUCCACACAGUCAUGAUCCUUCUGCUGUUCCUGAAUCUCAGGGAAUCAUCAUCAACCUGAAAAAUGGGGAGCUGUGUUUGUUCAGUGUGCAGUGUAAGAGCUCCUGCUGUCAGCGUUCCUCUGGCAUCGACCUCUUUCGCUGUGCUCCACGUGGUGCAGAGUGAGAGACAUGCUCCAAAAAGACCCUGUAUGGUACAUACUAUUUCUGCCCCUGUGAGAAAGGACGUGAUUGCAAAGGUGACUGGUCUAUUGGAGGAUUCAUCACCAGCACCAACUUUGGAACCUGUGUGGACCCUAACUAAGGCAGUCUGGAACUGCCUUAUUGCCCUUAAUGCC